UUGACCUCGGAUCAGGCAGGGAUACCCGCUGAACUUAAGCAUAUCAAUAAGCGGAGGAAAAGAAACCAACAGGGAUUGCCUCAGUAACGGCGAGUGAAGCGGCAACAGCUCAAAUUUGAAAUCUGGCUCUUUUAGGGUCCGAGUUGUAAUUUGUAGAGGAUGCUUCGGCGUCGGCUCCGGUCUAAGUUCCUUGGAACAGGACGUCAUAGAGGGUGAGAAUCCCGUAUGUGAUCGGUUGCCCUUGCCAUGUGAAGCUCCUUCGACGAGUCGAGUUGUUUGGGAAUGCAGCUCUAAAUGGGAGGUAAAUUUCUUCUAAAGCUAAAUACUGGCCAGAGACCGAUAGCGCACAAGUAGAGUGAUCGAAGAUGAAAAGCACUUUGGAAAGAGAGUCAAAAAGUACGUGAAAUUGUUGAAAGGGAAGCGCUUGCACCAGACCUGCCUGCAGUUGCUCAUCCGGGCUUUUG
rnacentral:rRNA from 1 species